GGAUUCGUGGCGCAGUGGUAGUGUGUUUGACUUCAGAUUAGAAGGUUGCGUGUUCAAUUCAUGUUGAGUUCA
rnacentral:tRNA from 1 species